GUCAAUGCAAAACUCAGAUAUCUUCCACCUCUACUUAUCUGACUGCAGAGAGGAGGACAGACAACAGUGGACACACAGUUUAACAUGAUGGACUACAGGACAGGACUGCUGCUGUUAACUAUCUGCUGGGCAGGUGUUGAUGGUCAGACUCUGACAGAAUCUGAACCAGCGAUUAAAAGGCCUGGAGAAUCCCACAAAUUGACCUGUACAGCCUCUGGAUUUAACAUUGCUGGCUACUGGAUGGCCUGGGUCAGACAGGCUCCUGGAAAAAGACUGGAGUUGGUUGCCGCUAUUUAUGAUAGUAGCAGCAUCGCCUACUCUCAGUCAGUUAAAGGCCGGUUCACCAUCUCCAGAGACAACAGCAGACAGCAGCUGUAUCUGCAGAUGAACAGUCUGAAGACUGAAGAUACUGCUGUUUAUUACUGUGCUCGAGAGACACAGUGA